rnacentral:rRNA from 1 species
UACGAAGGGGGCUAGCGUUGCUCGGAAUCACUGGGAGUAAAGCGCACGUAGGCGGAUUGCUAAGUCAGGGGUGAAAUCCUGGAGCUCAACUCCAGAACUGCCUUUGAUACUGGCGAUCUUGAGUCCGGGAGAGGUGAGUGGAACUGCGAGUGUAGAGGUGAAAUUCGUAGAUAUUCGCAAGAACACCAGUGGCGAAGGCGGCUCACUGGCCCGGUACUGACGCUGAGGUGCGAAAGCGUGGGGAGCAAACAGG